rnacentral:rRNA from 1 species
AUUGAACGCUGGCGGCAGGCCUAACACAUGCAAGUCGAACGAGUGGCGGACGGGUGAGUAAUGUCUGGGAAACUGCCCGAUGGAGGGGGAUAACUACUGGAAACGGUAGCUAAUACCGCAUACCAUCGAAUGUGCCCAGAUGGGAUUAGCUUGUAGGUGAGGUAACGGCUCACCUAGGCGACGAUCCCUAGCUGGACUGAGAGGGUGACCAGCCCAACUGGAACUGAGACACGGUCCAGACUCCUACGGGAGGCGGCGGUGGGGAAUAUUGCAAAAGGGGCGCAAGCCUGAGACAGCCAUGCCGCGUGUAUGAAGAAGGCCUUCGGGUUGUAAAGUACUUUCAGCGGGGAGGCGUUACCCGCAGAAGAAGCACCGGCUAACUCCGUGCCAGCAGCCGCGGUAAUAC